rnacentral:rRNA from 1 species
GACGAACGCUGGCGGCGUGCUUAACACAUGCAAGUCGAACGGAAAGGCCCUGCUGUUGUGGGGUGCUCGAGUGGCGAACGGGUGAGUAACACGUGAGUAACCUGCCCUUGACUUUGGGAUAACUGCAGGAAACUGGGGCUAAUACCGGAUAGGAGCUCCUGCUGCAUGGUGGGGGUUGAAAAGUUACGGCGGUUGGGAAUGGACUCGCGGCUUAUCAGCUUGUUGGUGGGGUAGUGGCUUACCAAGGCUUUGACGGGUCGCCGGCCUGAGAGGGUGACCGGCCACAUUGGGACUGAGAUACGGCCCAGACUCCUACGGGAGGCAGCAGUGGGGAAUAUUGCACAAUGGGCGGAAGCCUGAUGCAGCAACGCCGCGUGCGGGAUGACGGCCUUCGGGUUGUAACCCGCUUUCGCCUGUGACGAAGCGUGAGUGACGGUAAUGGGUAAAGAAGCACCGGCUAACUACGUG